rnacentral:rRNA from 1 species
GACGAACGCUGGCGGCGUGCUUAACACAUGCAAGUCGAACGAUGAAGCCGGAGCUUGCUCUGGUGAAUUAGUGGCGAACGGGUGAGUAACACGUGAGUAACCUGCCCUUGACUCUGGGAUAACUGCGGGAAACUGUAGCUAAUACCGGAUACGACCCUCGGAGGCAUCUCCUGGGGGUGGAAAGAAUUUCGGUCAAGGAUGGACUCGUGGCCUAUCAGCUAGUUGGUGAGGUAAAGGCUCACCAAGGCGACGACGGGUAGCCGGCCUGAGAGGGUGACCGGCCACACUGGGACUGAGACACGGCCCAGACUCCUACGGGAGGCAGCAGUGGGGAAUAUUGCACAAUGGGCGCAAGCCUGAUGCAGCAACGCCGCGUGAGGGAUGACGGCCUUCGGGUUGUAAACCUCUUUUAGCAGGGAAGAAGCGAAAGUGACGGUACCUGCAGAAAAAGCACCGGCUAACUACGUGCCAGCAGCCGCAGUAA